GCGCAGUGGACAAAGCAUAACCGCAGUACAAACUUUUUCCAUGUUCGAAGGGGCAAGUAACGCGGCUCGUAACUGCGGUAGGUAGGAUUCUGAAAGGACUACAGCGAGAUCCUAUGCGAAGAAUUCCUAAAAGGAUUUGUUUACUCGCCAAAGCACGUUACUCGUUCAACUGGUGAGCGUCGAAGGUGCAACAAAUCAUUUUCGUUUGAAUUACGAAGCUGCUGACGUUCAUUGGAAUGCCGAUAAAAAGAGUUACGAGAUCCGAAACAUCAAGCGUAUACGAUGAAUAAUGAAACAACGAAGAUUCAGCAGUAUGGACACGUGUCAGUUAAACGAGGAGCCAGAAGAUUACACGAAGAAUCCUUCGAGCGGAUGCCUCAUGGACAUCCACGGCGGCAAAAAUGAAGUAAGACAUGCGUUUAAGGCAGUUAAAACGUCCCGCUGUUCUGCUUAAAAGGCGAGUGAAAGAGAGAUAAAAAUGUGCACGCGAGCCGAAUGACAUCAGCCGUGAAUAAAAUAUUAGGAUACGAUGGCUGUGCUGCUUCGACAGCUAUCUGCCUGCUCGUCGAUAACUUUCGACAACGAAUUCUCGAAGGAAAUUCUGCCUGAUCCAUACAGCUGGCCAUUUUGUCCCCGGAGGUGACCGAGAAGAUGAAGAGUAUUGGAUGGACGAGUAGUACAUGGGAGGAGGUUCCAGCUAUUUUCUCGAAGAAGAGCCACCAGAGGCGAGUGAUUCAUCCUCGAUGACGCAAGAUGAACGAAACGUGGAUUAAUCGCGUGAAACUGCUAGCAAGGUCCGUCGUAGACAAGCGUCAAAUCUGCCGAAAAGAAUAUUUCGUAUGAUAAAUAAUUACGAGGUUUCUUCGAUGACUGAUUUCAGUUUAAAACGCAGAGCAUUGAAUAUUCCGCCUUAACCCCUGAAAGCUGUCAUCAA